rnacentral:rRNA from 1 species
UACGUAGGUGGCGAGCGUUGUCCGGAUUUACUGGGCGUAAAGGGAGCGUAGGCGGACUUUUAAGUGAGAUGUGAAAUACCCGGGCUCAACUUGGGUGCUGCAUUUCAAACUGGAAGUCUAGAGUGCAGGAGAGGAGAAUGGAAUUCCUAGUGUAGCGGUGAAAUGCGUAGAGAUUAGGAAGAACACCAGUGGCGAAGGCGAUUCUCUGGACUGUAACUGACGCUGAGGCUCGAAAGCGUGGGAGCAAACAGGAUUAGAUACCCGUGUA